CCUACGGGCGGCAGCAGUGGGGAAUAUUGCACAAUGGGGGAAACCCUGAUGCAGCAACGCCGCGUGAAGGAAGACGGUUUUCGGAUUGUAAACUUCUGUUCUUAGUGAAGAAAGGAAUGACGGUACCUGCAAAGGAAGCACCGGCUAACUCCGUGCCAGCAGCCGCGGUAAUACGGAGGGUGCGAGCGUUAAUCGGAAUUACUGGGCGUAAAGCGCUCGUAGGCGGUAUGUCAAGUCAAGGGUGAAAUCCCCGCGCUCAACGUGGGAACUGCCUUUGAAACUGGCAAACUGGAGUGUGUGAGAGGAUAGUGGAAUUCCAGGUGUAGGAGUGAAAUCCGUAGAUAUCUGGAGGAACAUCAGUGGCGAAGGCGACUAUCUGGCACAUAACUGACGCUGAGGAGCGAAAGCGUGGGUAGCAAACAGGAUUAGAUACCCUUGUAGUC
rnacentral:rRNA from 1 species